CAGUCGCCACGGGAAUACGGAGGGGGCUAGCGUUGUUCGGAAUUACUGGGCGUAAAGCGUACGUAGGCGGCUUUGUAAGUUAGAGGUGAAAGCCUGGUGCUCAACACCAGAACUGCCUUUAAGACUGCAUCGCUUGAACGUCGGAGAGGUGAGUGGAAUUCCGAGUGUAGAGGUGAAAUUCGUAGAUAUUCGGAAGAACACCAGUGGCGAAGGCGGCUCACUGGACGACUGUUGACGCUGAGGUACGAAAGCGUGGGGAGCAAACAGGAUUAGAUACCCCUGUAGUCCCUGUCUCUUAUAC
rnacentral:rRNA from 1 species